rnacentral:tRNA from 1 species
GUCUAUGGCGCAGUGGUAACGCGUCGCACUUGUAUACCACUGGCAGUCCCUCAGGAUUGCCUGAUGCCGCAAUGCGAAGAUCACAAGUUCAAUUCUUGUUGGAGGCA